GUCUAUGGCCAAACCACCCUGAAUGCGCCCGAUACAGUCUGAUCUCAGAAGCUAAGCAGGGUCUGGCCUGGUUAGGAUUUGGAGGAGAGUGUAAAAUAUAGACACUGUUUUUC
rnacentral:rRNA from 1 species